AGCUCCUAAAGCCAAUAUUACUUUUGUUGGCAUUAUCUAAUUCUCCCACUGAUGUUUGAUUCACAUGGAUUUUGGACCAGCAUCUAUCUUGAUAAGCCCUGUGUUUUCUUGGGCUGAAAGAAUGUAUCACUCUGACUUUUUGCUGCCUCUGUCACUCCAGAAUUUGACUUAAGGAUUUUUGAUGAAUCAAUUGAAAUAACAAGCUGAGUGUGGUGGAACGUGCUUGUUAUAACUCCUGCAGGAUGGCUGAGGAUCAAGGAACUCCUAACCUUUGGAAAGCAGAGCUCAGGUCUACAAAGAUGUAGUUUGUGAGAAAUCUACAUUGAAGAAAUAAAAGGAAAAACUGAUGGUGGUGAUGUAUAUGUCAGGUCCAUAUGAUGGAACUUUGGAGUUAUAAGACCUGAACAGGAAUCAUUGGUGUGAUGUUUAUGUGCCAAAAGAG